CCCAAACAUGCUCAGAUAUCACAAGCAAAAACCAGAGGUAAAGUGUUGGCUCAGUUUACAGUAGAGUCUUUUUCCUUUCAGUGUUUUAGUUUGGACAGACGCUACAAAAAAACAUGCAGAAGGUUUUUCAGCUCCGUGUGGCUCUGAUGGUCGUUCUGUGGAUCUCCUUAGUUUUGCCACCAUGUCAUUCUCAAGAUGGAAGAGUUCCCACUGACUGCUGCUUUCAAUUCUUCAGAAACCGGGUGAACAGAGAUCUCAUCUCUUCAUAUUACAGGACUGAUCAUCGCUGCGUCUUAAGAGGAGUUGUCUUAAUAACACGCAGGGGACGCAACAUCUGUGUGGAUGAAAAGGAACAGUGGGUGCAGAAUAUUGUUGAGCAUCUGGAGAAAAUGUCCCU